rnacentral:tRNA from 1 species
GCGGACGUGGUGGAACGGCAGACACGAUGGCUUCAGGAGCCAUUGGGAUUUUUUCCCUUGUGGGUUCAAAUCCCACCGUCCGCACCG